AUGGAAGCCCAGGUGGGGGCUGUGUUAGGUUAUGACACGUGGCCCUGGAGUAGCUUUGUCCUCAUUAGACACGGGGGCCCACAGCCUGGAGGUAACAUCCAGCCUGUGCCUCAGGGGUGUGGUGAGUGCUUGCUGCACCCCCAACCCACUGCUGAGGACUCUUGGGGGAGGGGUGAGCUCCCCAGAGAGUCCUACCCACAAGCUAAGGAAGAAGGCAAUGAGAUCAGAGCCCGGAAGGGAUCGUCCCCUGCUUGCAGCACCCAAGUGGGGUCCCUCCCUCGAGGGGGCAUCUCUGAAGUGCGAGUUGAAAUCCUGUCCUGGUGGUCCCUGAGACCUAACCAGGUAGGCCCAGGAUGUCCUCAGAAUGGCAGAGCCUCUCCUAGGGAUGUCCAGACCGUGGGGGCCGAGCUGAGCUCAGCGGGGCACCUGCGAGGCAGACAGUCUCAGAGGGAUGGCCGGCUCUGCAGGAAUGGUGACCACUUUGCAGAAACAACUUCACAGUCCUGGAAGAGCUGGGAAGAGCGAGCCAGAGGAGCCAGAGGGGGCCUCCGACAGACACCUUCAGAGCUGCAGUCCACAGCCUUGGCAGUGGGGGACAUUCCAGAACAAGGAACAUUCCAGAACACAUUUGGGCACCAAGGGGAUCUGAAGAUACGUACCUCCUACGACUGAGCAGUCUCAUUGCUGGGUGUUCAGUUGCUGCUCUGAUUCACAUCAGCAAAGUCUGGAGAUGGUUUGGAUCAUUGGGGCUUGGGGAGAGGAAAGUGGACUACCGGCUUCCAGUGGAUGAGAGCCAGGGGCGCUGCCAGCAGCCAACAGCGUCAGGAUGGCCCCUACAGCAUCCUAUCACUAGUGUGCCCAUCGAGAAACCACGCCCUGGAGAAAGCCCAGUGCAUAGCACAGAGACACCUGCAGCCACGCUCACGAGCGCGUGUUUUACAAGAGCGACACUGGAAAGACCCGUUUCCACCAAGAGUGAAGUGGAGAUGUGAGCUGCAGUUGAUUCGAAUACCCAGCUCUCUGGCAAGGCCGUGAGUGGACUCAGCUCCACGCCCGACAAAUCUCACUGCGGCAAUGCUGAAAGAGGAGAAGCAAGAUGCCGCAAAACGUGAGGCUGCGUGUGCCUACAGAAACUCCGCGGCAAAACCACACUGCAUUGCCUGGGAAGGCAGGCGGCAUGGUGAAACCGCGAGGGGAGGGGAGGCUGGGUCCCAGAAGCCCAGUGGCAGCUGGCUCCUGCAGGAGGCCCGGCGAUGUGACUGAGUUCCGGAGUAAGACACCUGGGCUGUGAUGCCCUGCACGUCCGCAUCCUAAUUACUUGUUAACCGCACAUUUACACUGAAUAUACUUCUCUGUGUGUGAGGUUUUUGUACGAUGCCAAAUGGUAAAUAAAAUAGUCUCUUUUCUUUUACUUGGCCA
rnacentral:lncRNA from 1 species